rnacentral:rRNA from 1 species
UUGGAGGGCAAGUCUGGUGCCAGCAGCCGCGGUAAUUCCAGCUCCAAUAGCGUAUAUUAAAGUUGUUGCAGUUAAAAAGCUCGUAGUUGAAUUUCGGGAUCAGAUUGUCGGUCGUGCCUCGGUACGCACUGGCAUUAUUGGUUCCUACCUUCUGAAGAACCGCGAUGUCAUUAAUUUGGUGUCGUGGGGAAUCAGGACUGUUACUUUGAAAAAAUUAGAGUGUUUAAAGCAGGCGCACGCUUGAAUACAUUAGCAUGGAAUAAUGAAAUAGGACGUUUGAUUCUAUUUUGUUGGUUUCUAGGAUCGACGUAAUGAUUAAUAGGGAUAGUUGGGGGCAUUAGUAUUCAAUUGUCAGAGGUGAAAUUCUUGGAUUUAUUGAAGACUAACUACUGCGAAAGCAUUUGCCAAGGAUGUUUUCAUUAAUCAAGAACGAAAGUUAGGGGAUCGAAGACGAUCAGAUACCGUCGUAGUCUUAACCAUAAACUAUGCCGACUAGGGAUCGGAUGAUGUUAAUUUUUUAAUGACUCAUUCGGCGCCUUAGGGGAAAC